AUGGCCUGGACUCCUCUGCUCCUCGCGCUCCUCUCUCUCUGCACAGGGUCCCUCUCCCAGCCUGUGCUGACCCAGCUGCCCUCCCUCUCCGCAUCUCUGGGAGCCACAGCCAGACUCACCUGCACCCUGAGGAGUGGCUACAAUAUUGGCACCUACCAUAUACGAUGGUUCCAGCAGAAGCCAGGGAGCCCUCCCAGAUUUCUCCUGAGGUAUAAAUCAGACUCAGAUAAGUACCACGUAUCCGGGGUCCCCAGCCGCUUCUCUGGAUCCAAAGACGCCUCGGCCAGUGCGGGGCUCCUGCUCAUCUCGGGGCUGCAGCCUGAGGACGAGGCUGACUAUUACUGUAACAUAUGGGACAGCAGCUAUGAAACUUACACAGUGGUCCAGACCCACAGGGAACCCCGACUGUGCUGGUCGGUGUCCGUCCGGAACCGGGUCAUCCUUGGACCCGUGGUCCUGACAGUGUCACAGCUCUGA